CUUAGAACUUUACAGGAAAAGAAAAAAAACAGGUGAAAUGGAGAUUGCACAAUCUUGUCUUGAAGCAGGAGACUUAUCUGGAAACUUCUGGCAUUCCUUAGUACAAUUCAAAUGAUACUGAAAAAAAAUCAUCUGGUCUUUUCACUUCCCCUUGGUCUGGGUCAAAGAUUUAGCGAGUGUAGUUAGUGAGUUCAGGGGGUGGGGUCAAGGAUUAGAGGCUCUAUCGGUGUGGUGGCUAACACGUGAGCAAGUAAGUAUGUUGAGGUCAGAUGCUUUUCUCUGGCACCUCUUGGGACGAGCACUGGGUGUUGUAUGGAAACCAAUUAGGCAAUAAAUUUCAUGUUAAAAAAAUAAAUAAAUAAAAUAAAAAGUAGAAUUAAAAACUUUUUAAAAGUUAAGGUGGUUAAGAAAUUAAUCCUGACAGAAUAGCUGAUGAUACGUUUAUCUCAUGUAGACACACACACACACACACACACACGUGCACACGUGUGCUAAACAGUAUCUUUGUGUUUCUUAUGUGUGAAUACGUUUAUAGGUAUAUCCUUAUUUUUCUAAUUUCUCUAAGGUUCUGAUACAUUUCAGAGCAAGAGAAGAAAAAUUUGCAAAGUAGUUCAGUAACACCAUAAAAAGGGAAGACUUUUGAAUGUGUAAAAGAUUUAUUUCUGGGGCGCCUGGGUGGCGCAGUCGGUUAAGCGUCCGACUUCAGCCAGGUCACGAUCUCGCGGUCCCUGAGUUCGAGCCCCGCGUCAGGCUCUGGGCUGAUGGCUCGGAGCCUGGAGCCUGUUUCCGAUUCUGUGUCUCCCUCUCUCUCUGCCCCUCCCCCGUUCAUGCUCUGUCUCUCUCUGUCCCAAAAAUAAAUAAAAUAAAAAAAAAAAAAAAAGAUUUAUUUCAAGUGUUAACAGUUAUAAGGUAUUGUUCUAAAUGACCAUCAUUAUGGAUUUGAGCACCAAAUUAGAAUAUAGUGAAAAGAUAAAAAUAUUUAAGUUUGUUCUGAGUUUUGAAAUAUUGUUCACUUAAAACCUUCUCUAAUAAAGAUAAGUGCAUUAGUUAAGGCUGCCUAAGGGCAAGUCUGAUUUGUUUCCUGGCUAUUAAUGAAUACUUUAUGUGACUAUUUACUCCUAUAUGAAAUAAAAAGAGGUAUUCCCACAGCAGCAACAAUGGUAGGUGUUAAUAUUUUUAUUUUUUUCUCCUGAUAGAGGGCUUAAUACAAACCCUAUAUUCCUUUUUUUAAAUGAUCAGAAACAGAAUUUGGGAACUUCAAGGGAAUGUAUUUUCGUUCACAUCUGCCUCCCAAAUUAGUUUCAUCUACUCAGAAACUAUAAUUUAUGGUAAAAGUGCUGAAUCUAAGCUAAUUUUCCUUCUUAAAUUUAGGUUUUAAAUAGGGCACCUUGUUGGCUCAGUCAGUUGAGCGUCUGACGUCAGCUCAGGUCAUGAUCUUACGGUUCAUGAGUUCGAGCCCCACAUCGGUCUCGCUGCUGUCAGCUUGUCAGCACAGAGCCCGCUUUGGAUCCUCUGUCUCCCUCUCCCUGCCCCUCCCCUGCAUACGCUCUCCCAACAAUAAAUAAAUAAAUAAAUAAAUAAAUAAAGCAGUACCUAACAUGUUCCUGAUAUGGCCCGUGGCCACAAAAACAUAAGGUCCUUGUGCUGAGGUAGCACCUUCUUCAAACAGAUGAACCUGUACCAGAGGACUUGAAAUCAAGUAUUGUGGCCAUUGGCUUGCAGGUUCUAUUUUGAAAAGGAAAAUUCUGGAGGACUUUUUUUUUUUUUUAAUAGGCAGAGUGAUCCAUACAAACAGCACAACUUUUCUUUCCUGCUAGAUGUAAGAUCUGAGCUGGAGCAUUGCAUGAAAGCUGUGCUUAUGAGUCAGCAAAGAUGCUACUACUCUGCAAAACCAGGUGAAGCCCUCAUAUACACUGAGGUUGAAAGAGUCUUUAAGGUACAAUGUUUAAAGCGCUCUUGUGUCCGAUGAAAAAUUAAUGAAAUGGUGAAAGCAGUGUUAGCACGCGGGACCCCCUCCAAAAUAUUCCCCUUAGGGUGACACUGUGUGCCAAAGCCAUUCUCAAGGCAAAGACCCCUUUAGAAAACUCAUUCUUGCCCUUGAACCUCAUCUUCAACUGCAGUGUGGUUACUACAUAACAAAGGACUGUUAUCUUUUCAGAUCCACGUGGCUGAAUAGCACCCAGCCCUGUAGCUCACCAAGGCCUAAAAUAGUUCCUGGAUACAAUUGGAGGAGAGGGUGACAAAAUGGCAGAAAGCUAUUUGGCAACAAAGUUUAUCAGACUUACCCAGAAACAUCAUAGUUUUAAUCUGAAAACCGAGUGCAUUCUUUAGUUUGGAUGUGAGACUAAUUUAUUUUUGCUUUUAUAUUUCGAAUAAAAUAUAGAGAUGUUGUUAAAGGAGAACAUCUUUAUUUCCCUCAAUGCAUACUUUGUCCUUUUAAAACUGUUUACUAACACUCCCUCUCUCUACCCUUCCCCUGCUCUGUGUGUGUGUGUGUGUGUGUGUGUGUGUGUGUCAAAAAUAAGUAAGCGUUAAAAAAUUAAAAAAAAAAAAAAAGAAAAAAGGGGCGCCUGGGUGACUCGGUUGAGCAUCCGACUUCAGCUCGGGUCAUGGUCUCAUGGUUCAUGAGUUCGAGCCCCACGUGGGGCUCUGUGCUGACAGCUCGGAGCCUGGAGCCUGCUUCGGAUUCUGUGUUUCCCUCUGUCUGCCCUUCCCCUGUGCGUGCUCUCUCUCUCUCUCUCUCUCUCUCUCUCUCUCUCAAAAAUAAAUAAACAUUAAAACAUUUUUUAAAGGAAAAAAAUAAUUUUUACUAACAAAAUUGCUGCACUGAGAGUUAUUAGAAUUCUUCCUUAAGGUAUUCUUUCUACAGUAGCUCUAUGUGAACAGAAGGCGUAUGUAUAUAUGCAAUAAUAUCAAUUGCAAUUCAUCAUAAUACAAAUAGAAAUGAAAUGACCAUUUUAUUAUGAAAUGCUCUAAUGACAAGGAGAGAUUCAGUGAUCUUUCCUCUAAAUGCAUUCCCAUAUAUUACUUUUGUCAAUAGAUUUCUAUGGUUUCUGUAUGCAAGACUGAUUUUUGCAGAUACUUUAAAAUGUGACUCGAGAGGUUUUUUGUAGACGAAGACGUUUCACUCCACUCCUUCAUGAACCUCUUCUUUAAGAACCCUCAAGGGAUUCAGGUUUUGCUGUCACUUGGGGCCAUUUAAAUCCCCAGUGAGAUCUGGUAAUGCCUGACUUUUGUAGAAAAUUCCACCCUUGAUGGAUCACCUACUUAGGAGUUCCUGGAGGAAAUCUCACGGGAUUUCUGUCGCAUUGGAUUUCCUUACACAAAACCUGAUCCUCCAAUUGAGAACUUGACAGGACCCUAGCACUUUUGGUCUGGAGCCUGGGAAAGAAUGAGGAGGAGAGCAGCAGCAAUUCUCUUCGUGGAUAAGGAUGUCUGCUUUUCUAACAACUCAGUGCCAGAGAGCCACACAGAUAUUCAAAGAAGUUGUGAACUGUAGCAGGGCCCCUAUGUUUAGGGGACUCCCACACACUGCUGGUUCUGAGAAACAGAUGAGAAGGAGCUGUGGCCACAUCCAGUCAACAACGUAAAUAUGCGGGGCACCUGGGUGGCUCAGUGGGUUAAGCAUCCCACUUCGGCUCAGGUCAUGAUCCCAUGCUUUGUGAGUUCGGGUCCCAUGUUGGGCUCUGUGCUGACUGACAGCUCAGAGCCUGGAGUCUGCUUCAGAUUCUGUCUCCCUCUCUCUCUGUCCCUGCCCCGCUCGUGCUCUGUCUCUCAAAAAUGAAUAAAAACAUUAAAAAUUUUUUAAAAAGCAGUGUAAAUAUGCAAGUCAGGUUGAUGUUUAAAGAUCAAAUCCCCAGUGUCACCAACCCAGAUGGUGUGCUGUAUAAAGAUACAAAGGCAAUCAGAGGUCCAGCCCCUCCCAUUUAUGAACCUAUAUGAAACUAAUGUCUCAAGGCAUUAAAACCAAAAAAUUACAGGGCAACAUUGGAGAAACUGUUUUAAAGAAAGGCGAUGGUUGUGGAGAUUAGUCAAGUAGGUAUUAACAAAACUGCAUAAGAGAUUUUUAAUGUCCAUUAACAUAUUAAUGAAAUUGAAAACUCUCUUUAACUUUGUCCUGCAUUUACCAAACUUACAUGCCACAUAUAUAUUCUUAUAUAUAUAAAGAGGAACACACACGAGAACCAUAAUGUAUUAGGGAGCCCUAAUGUAAAGUACUACAAACAAGUGUGAUGUACUAAAUACUAAGUGAAUCCAUAGAUCCUGAAGGGAUACAGAAUAAGGGGAUGAUAAGAACGGCCUAAGUUCCAAUGUACUGAUUAUAUACUAUGUGUUGGGCACAGUAGAUAUUUUGCAUAUAACAAUGAGAAAUAUGUACUGAGCAUUUACUGUAUAUCAGGUACUAUCAUGAGCACUUUAUAUUCAUCAUUUGAUUCAAUGGCUUUUUUAUCCCUAUGAGGUGCAUGUCAUUAUUAUCCCCGUUAUCUCAUGUUAUACAUGAGAACAAGGGGCUUAAAAAGUUAAAUGCCAUGACGUUAGUAAGAAGGCAGGCAACUUUCUUCUAAUGUGUCAGGAAAGAUAGAUAUAUCGGCAACUAACCAUAAGCAAGGUGUUAAGUCCACUACUAACAUUAUGAACAAGAACCAAAAAAAGUGAAGUUCUUCAUUUAACUGAUGGGAGGGUUGUCACAGGAAAAAUAUUGGUGGAUGGUCACAGAGUUAAGAGCUAUAAUUAUACAUGAACUGCUGGAAGAUGUCAAAGGGAUGACAAAAAUACCACCAUUUUUUUUUCUGGAAACAAGUUCAUAGAAUUUGAGAAGGUUGCUAUUAUUCAUUUAGGAAGGUUGUUAUUAUUACCCAAUUUGUGAAACAAACAAAACUGAACUAAAUGGUUUAUUGUUGCCUGAAAGAAAUGAACUAUAUUUGAAAUAAGUAUUGCCUGGACAUGUCAAAAUGAUUGCACACUUUUUUCAAAUGUUGGUUCCUAAUACAAAGAUUGUAAAGAUUCACUCCAUUGGAUGAGAUGUUGUUUUUAGAAAUGAUCUGCCUCCUCUGUUCAUUCAUAUCCAAUUCCAGAAAUGGGAAAUUAUUCAGGAAUCUUUUUUCUCAUUAUGGUCUUGAUGUGAAAUUCAUUUCGUGGUUGCUGAGCAUCUUGAAAAUACAGCGGAUGGUUGCAACUACAUAUUCCUCUCUGGUGAUUUUACUACAACUGCUCAAAUAACAAAUGAUAAAAUGUUUUAGAUUCUAUUGUUUUUUUUACUUGUCUUAAAGUUGAAUUUACUCAGUGUUUUCAUUAGGAAUUACUUUUAGCAUAUAAAAAUAAUAUUCUAAAUUCUAUAAAAUGUGGAUUUAGAAAUAUAAAUAUAAUUUAUAAAAAUGCAUAAAUAUGGUUUCAUUGUAUAAUAAUAAUGCACAGUACAUAAUUUUUUAUAAUACUUUUCUGCUCUAUUUAAUCUUUUCUGCCCUCACUAAUUACUCUAACAUACCUUGAGGUAGGUAGAAAUAAAUUAACUAUGUUUAAGCUGUAAUUAAUUUUUGGCCAGGGCCCAGUAGAAAAUAAUAUUUGAACAGGAAAUAGAGUUGUCACUUUCAGAUUUCCAUUUUAAGGCCCUUUAGGUUAGAAGGCAACAUAGUUAAUUAUUAGAAUAACUUUCAUAAAUCAAACCCAUUCCAAAGAAAAUCUGAUUUUUUUCCGUCUUAGGCAGCCUUUCUUCCAAAGUUUGAAAAGGUUUUUAAAAAAAUUUUUUUUUUCAACGUUUAUUUAUUUUUGGGACAGAGAGAGACAGAGCAUGAACGGGGGAGGGGCAGAGAGAGAGGGAGACACAGAAUCGGAAACAGGCUCCAGGCUCCGAGCCAUCAGCCCAGAGCCUGACGCGGGGCUCGAACUCAGGGACCGCGAGAUCGUGACCUGGCUGAAGUCGGACGCUUAACCGACUGCGCCACCCAGGCGCCCCUGAAAAGGUUUUUAAAGGUUACUUUACUUGGAAAAACAUUUCUAUCAGAUGGCAACAAUUUUGCUCACAGUUCUAUAGCUUUCCAUAUCCAAGUUGUGAUUCUGUGAUUCUUCUUAAAGCAGAGUUUAAAAGAUACAUACUACUAAUGCUUUGGGACAUUAUUUUCAUUUUUAUUGAUAUAAGUACAUCUCCAGAAUAAUUUAUUUCAGGUUUGUUUAAAAGCACUUUGGGUCUAGGGAUCAGGGGCAAGAUGAUUGAGAGAUACUCAGGUAAAUUCAGCCCUAAUCUGAAAAUGUAGAUUCCGAAAGACUUUGCACUAAUUUUCAAAUAAUUAGAACAAUGAAGUACAUAGUCUUGGAUAAAUACAUAUAUUUUCCAACUCGUGGCAAGCUAAUUGCUCCUCAUCUAGAAAAUGUAAUAAUAUUAGCAGUUGUCUGAUAAUGCAGUUACUUCUAUUCCUACAGAAAAGAAGAUGCUGGCUGGCUGGUAAUACUGAGAUGAACACCCCAGUGUCUGUACAUCCUUCUGAGCCAGCCUCUACUGAUAAGAGUGCAGAACUCCCAUCUCAAACAGUGAAGGUGUGCCUUUCCAGUUUACAGAUGACCCCAGACUGAGAGAGACAGAGAUAGAGAUACAAGGCAAGAGUGCACGCAAGAUCAGUGUUGGAAGACCAAAUUAGAAUUAAACAAAAACACAACUAUUUUCCAGGUCAAAUGUAAACGUGAGUUUGAAAAUGGAGUGUACAUUGAAAGGUUGCAGGAAAUUUUGUAUAUUCCAGGGUCACAAAAAAGGAAUUCGGGAUUUCUAGUGGGCGACAAACUCAAUAAACCAACAAUAAAAUAAAGGGGUCCAAUUGCUUGCUUUUGGUUGUUGUUGUUAAUGUGAUAUCAGUCCGACAACGGGAAAACCCACGUGGUGCAUUGAAUCCAGGUUCCUUAGCACAUGUUUACCGUAAGAAGUAGGCACUGGAAGUUAUCAAGGAAAGACUGCCGGCGUGGUUGAGGAUUCUAGAAUCACUCACUAUUGGUUUAAAAAGGUGAGACUGUUUUGUCUAAAAAAGGGAGGACAAUGUAAUAACUCUCUUCAAAUAUGUGAACACCUCUUUCUAGAUAAGAGAUUAGACUGCUUCUAAGGAAGCAAUAGGAACAAUAAGCAAGAGUUGCAGGGAGGAACAUGUUAACACCUCUCAGAGCAGUUUUUUCCCCUAAUCAUUAUUGCUGUUCACCAAUGAAAUAGUUUCCCUUACAUGGAUGGUACGGGUUUUGCCUUACUAGAAAUAUUCCCUAUUACCUUUAUAAUUGUUUUCUUUUCAUAGUUUUCAUUUCAUAUUUUCAUUUCAUAUUUCCAUUUAGUGUCUAAACCAUAUCUCAAAAUGAUCUUUGUAACUCAGGAGUCAAGUUAUGUCACUACCCAUGUUAAAUCUUUCCAAGACUCUUACUUUUUCUUUUCUUUUCUUUUCUUUUCUUUUCUUUUCUUUUCUUUUCUUUUCUUUUCUUUUCUUCUCUUUCUUUUCUGUUAUUUUCUCCUUUGUUUACUUUUCUUUAUUUUUUGUUUUAAAUAUAGGACUCCCUCUCAAGAAGAUGUGGUUUGAAAACAGAGAGUCACAUAUAAUAUGACUGAAGUAUGCUAUGGUAUUGCUUUGCUUUUCAUUUUCUGGAUUUAACAACAUCAUUAAGAAUAGGGGCGCCUGGGUGGCGCAGUCGGUUAAGCAUCCGACUUCAGCCAGGUCACGAUCUCGCGCUCCGUGAGUUCGAGCCCCGCGUCGGGCUCUGGGCUGAUGGCUCAGAGCCUGGAGCCUGUUUCCGAUUCUGUGUCUCCCUCUCUCUCUGCCCCUCCCCCGUUCAUGCUCUGUCUCUCUCUGUCCGAAAAAAAAUAAAUAAACGUUGAAAAAAAAAAUUAAAAAAAAAAAAAGAAGAAAAUACUUUUUUUGAGUUUUUAUUUAAAGCUUAAAAAAGUUAGAGAGGAGACAUGCAAGUCUCUUCUCAGGAAGUUUCUAGAGUGAUGGAGCACUCGAAAACGUGGUUCUUGCUUUGGUUACAUAAGAUUUGGUAAAUAAGACAAUGCUUAUGUGGGAUGCCUCACGGACGAUCAUGUACUAAAUAAGGUGGUGUAUCUUACUCUGUAGCUAGAAAUUUGUGUUGCAAGCAUGUGACAUAGAAACUAUCUUAAGUAUCAUUAUUUGCUGUGUUUAUUUUUGCUUUUUGUUCUAUUUUAUAAGGUCUGUGGUCUUACUUUAGUCGUAAAGCAGUUUUCUGAGAUUCUCAAGGACAGCUUAUAUUUACAGCAUCCAAAGGGCCCCAUUGUCACUGGAUUAUCAUAUUGUUUGAUUAUUCUGUCUUCCUCCACUUUAUAUCAGCCUGAUGACUGUAUUCUGAUUCUUUGGAGCACUAUGUAAAUCAAAGUAGUAAAUGCAAUGUCUAGCCUUACUGGGUACCAUGUACAUUAGGUUGAAUAACCCUAGGAAUUUUGUUACAAUCGUGUCAUGCCUAAUGAUGACCUACUCAGCCCCUGCAAACAUCAUUCAAUUACUCAUUUCAGCAUUGAUUUUUCUCAUGCUUUUCUUCAUGGCAUUUAAACGGCUCUUACGUCUCUCUUUUCACUGAGGUGGGAUGUUAUAUAACGGCGGUGAUGCUUUGCUUCCCAGAUUCCUAAUGCUACACUCUGCUUCAAGUCCUUUUGGGAGCAAAUUGGGGUAUCAAUACAUGAAUAAUGCCACACUUAUUUUUAAUUGAAAUCACUGCUUUCAUAGAAAUGGUAUAUUAACACAAUUUUCACUGACAAAAUAUUUUAAAUGCCUUUGUAUAAUAAAGAAAAGAUUACCAGUACUCUGUACCAAGAAUACAAUUUAUCCCAAUUUUCCAAUAAAAGUAGAAUUAUUAAUGGAAGAAUAAUACAUAUAAUGUCAACAUCUAACCUUAAAAAUGGAAAUAAUGUAGCACUUUUUUAAGAAUACAUUAUAUUCACAU
rnacentral:lncRNA from 1 species